rnacentral:tRNA from 1 species
CUCGCGAUAGCUCAGUUGGUAGAGCGGAGGACUGUAGGUGAUAUUUGUGGCUAUCCUUAGGUCGCUGGUUCGAAUCCGGCUCGCGAGA